CCUAAAAAGUAAAAGGGAUAAUUGUCUAUAUACCCCUCAAAAUUUUAAAAAUAUCUCAUUUAUUCUUACUUUUUUUUUCUUCCGUUAUUCCAAAAUACCCCUACGGUUAUCACCCGUUAAACUAACUUAGGUUAAACAUGAGUUAAAUAACUAUUAGAGUUAUAAAAUCAAAAUACCUCUUUUACCUUUAACUUAAGAACAAAUAAGAAAUGUUAGCGAUGGUAGAAAGGUAUGAAAAGACCAAAAAUUAAAAUACUUUUUGCAUCCCUAACUUAAGAGCAAAUAAGAAAAAUCGGUGAUGGUGGAAGGGUAUAUCUGGAAGGGCAAAAUAAUAAUUUCAUACAGAUAACAACUAUUGCUAACAGUUAAUUAACAGAAUUUAACUCUAGGGGUAUAUUUGAAAAAAUUGGAACGUAAAAAGGGUAUUUUUAAUAUUAGCCUUCUAAGAGGGAUAAAUUAGAAAGUCGGAAACUUUUCAGGGGUAUAUGAGCAAUUG
rnacentral:lncRNA from 1 species